GAUGAACGCUGGCGGCGUGCCUAAUACAUGCGAGUCGAGCGAACGGACGAGAAGCUUGCUUCUCUGAUGUUAGCGGCGGACGGGUGAGUAACACGUGGAUAACCUACCUAUAAGACUGGGAUAACUUCGGGAAACCGGAGCUAAUACCGGAUGAUAUUUUGAACCGCAUGGUUCAAAAGUGAAAGACGGUCUUGCUGUCACUUAUAGGUGGAUCCGCGCUGCAUUAGCUAGUUGGUAAGGUAACGGCUUACCAAGGCAACGAUGCAUAGCCGACCUGAGAGGGUGAUCGGCCACACUGGAACUGAGACACGGUCCAGACUCCUACGGGAGGCAGCAGUAGGGAAUCUUCCGCAAUGGGCGAAAGCCUGACGGAGCAACGCCGCGUGAGUGAUGAAGGUCUUCGGAUCGUAAAACUCUGUUAUUAGGGAAGAACAUAUGUGUAAGUAACUGUGCACAUCUUGACGGUACCUAAUCAGAAAGCCACGGCUAACUACGUG
rnacentral:rRNA from 1 species